rnacentral:rRNA from 1 species
UACGUAGGUGGCGAGCGUUGUCCGGAAUUACUGGGUGUAAAGGGUGCGUAGGCGGGUUAUAAAGUCAGAUGUGAAAUACCGAGGCUUAACUUCGGGGCUGCAUUUGAAACUUAUGAUCUUGAGUGGGGUAGAGGCAAGCGGAAUUCCCAGUGUAGCGGUGAAAUGCGUAGAUAUUGGGAGGAACACCAGUGGCGAAGGCGGCUUGCUGGGCCUUAACUGACGCUGAGGCACGAAAGCAUGGGGAGCAAACAGG